CCUACGGGAGGCAGCAGUGAGGAAUAUUGGUCAAUGGGCGCGAGCCUGAACCAGCCAAGUAGCGUGAAUGAUGACUGCCCUACGGGUGGUAAACUUCUUUUAUAAAGGAAUAAAGUGAGGCACGUAUGCCUUUUUUUCUGUACUUUAUGAAUAAGGAUCGGCUAACUCCGUGCCAGCAGCCGCGGUAAUACGGAGGAUCCGAGCGUUAUCCGGAUUUAGUGGGUUUAGAGGAAACGUAGAUGGGUUGUUAAGUCAGUUGUGAAAGUUUGCGGCUCAACCGUAAAAUUGCAAUGGAUACUGGCAGCCUUGAGUACAGUUGAGGGAGGCGGAAUUCGUGGUGUAGCGGUGAAAUGCUUAGAUAUCACGAAGAACUCCGAUUGCGAAGGCAGCCUACUAAACUGCCACUGACAUUGAUGCUCGAAAGUGUGGGUAUCAAACAGGAUUAGAUACCCCAGUAGUC
rnacentral:rRNA from 1 species